rnacentral:rRNA from 1 species
UCGUUCGGUAGCAAUACUGAGCGAAGCUAGUGGCGAACGGGUGCGUAACACAUGAGUCAUCUGCCCAAAAGUGGGGAAUAGCUCGGCGAAAGCCGGAUUAAUACCGCAUGUGGUCAGGCCUUUGGCCGGACCAAAGCCGGGGCAACCUGGCGCUUUUGGAGGAGCUCGUGGCCUAUCAGCUAGUUGGUGAGGUAACGGCCCACCAAGGCUAAGACGGGUAGCUGGUCUGAGAGGACGACCAGCCACACUGGAACUGAGACACGGUCCAGACACCUACGGGUGGCAGCAGUCGAGAAUUUUUCACAAUGGGCGCAAGCCUGAUGGAGCGACGCCGCGUGGGGGAUGAAGGGUUUCGAUCCGUAAACCCCUGUCAUUUGCGAACAAACCUUAUUCAAUAACACUGAAUGAGCUGAUUGUAGCGGAAGAGGAAGGGACGGCUAACUCUGUGCCAGCAGCCGCGGUAAUACAGAGGUCCCAAGCGUUGUUCGGAUUCACUGGGCGUAAAGGGUGCGUAGGUGGCCGUGGAAGUUCGAUGUGAAAGCUCGGAGCUCAACUCCGAAAUGGCAUUGAAUACUCUACGGCUGGAGGGUCGGAGGGGAGACUGGAAUUCACGGUGUAGCA